UUAUUGCUUUUAGAACUUGUGGGUGGAGAUUGAAAAUCGAUCUUGAAUGACUAUGUUUAUUCAGAACAUUUAAAAGAAACAUUUGAAAAUUAUUUUGUGAAACCUUUUAUCCUUACAAACAAUAUUAUAUGGUAAGAAACUAAAGGUGAAGACAAUUCUUUUAGCUUGCAAGGAAAACUUUAACUUGAUUUUGGGUCUUGGGGGUCUUGUCACCAAGAGUCCUUACCCUACGUUAAGUAGCAGAUGCAAAUACUACACUUUGUAUCCAUGAGUUAUCGAGUGGAACAUUGGGAGAAUAACCCCCAACUUUUGUGUGUACAGAUAUUCAAGAUUUUGCAUUCAGAGUGUAGAAUAAGCCAAGAAAAUUACUAAGUAAAAAUAUGAUUACAAGCUUAGUAGUGGCCGUGGUGUGAGUGAUCCAUGCAAUCACAAGAUUGGCCUUAUAAGGGCAGUUUCUGCAUUUAAGCUAGUUGAAAGUAGACCUGUUCACUGGCUUGGUGCUAACUCAACAUGAUCAGUUUCUAAAUUGCCUGACUUUGACAAUAAAUUUUAUCCAUUGGCUUGAGUUGGGGCCCAGCCUGAUCAAGGCCCACUUUAAAAUUGGGUCUGUUUUGAGAUUCAAAAUUCCUUAAGCCCCAACUCUGCCUGGUCUGCUUUGCUAAAAAUUACAUGUAUUUUUUGAAAAUAUUUAUAUGCAAUUGGGACUGGCUUAGGCAAAACAAGUAGUCUUGGCCAUAUGGGGACUUGAGCCAAUGUAUAAAGGGUCCUAGUCUAACCUCUUAAUGACCAGGUUUGGUAAAAAAGGUUUAAUGGUGCACUGUUGUAAGGACUUGUGGGAUUUAAUUGGAAAUAUGAUUACAGACAUUAAUAAUGUUCCUUGACUCUCUUCUGCACUGAGCUGAAAAUCAGCUGUGCCAAGGGUUUGCUUUUUGCAUUUUAACUUUGUUUUUGAUUGCAUAACAUGCAUAUGCAGAAAUAAAAUGCCAUACCUAAUUCCAAUAUAUGAGCUAAUGGUCAAAACUAGAAAAUCUCAAGUUGCCAAAAAUCUGUGUUGUACAUGCACUGCUUUUGGCAAAUUAACUAAUCUUCGAGCGUAGAUGUUUAGAGAAAGGUCAUGCACCUAACUUUAAGACAAAGCUGUAUUGGAACGCCAUCCCUACCCAUACCUGGCGUUCUCAGUAGUAAGUUCCUUCUAGUUCCUGCAGUUCGAAAUGCAUUCAUGUUAUAGAUAACACUUGGACAUUCCGACAUAUUGAUGUUGGUAGUGGUGUCAUUGUUUUAACACAAAAAGCUGAUGCCUAAGCAAUAUAGUCUAUGAUGAUUGUUGAAUCCUUUAAAAUAUAGAAAUGUAAAAUUGACCCUCAAAGGAAAAAAAUAAAAAUUUAAGGAGUCCAUGCCCCAUGGAGUUGGCAAUCCAUGUUGAGAGAAUGCACAUGUAGUGGCUUGUACUUAAGGCAUGUCAUUAUAUGCCGUUAUGUCUAUUUGUUUCACCGGUUUAUUUAGUUAUCCACAAACUGUAAUGCUUUAUUUGGAUGGGGGGAUCUGUUGGGGUUCUUGAUCCCUAACAAGCAGUUACUGAUUCUGAGGAGGAAGAAGAAAUAGCAAGAGAGGAAAAUGGGAGGAAUAGAAGAAGAAAUAGCAAGAGAGGAAAAUGG
rnacentral:misc_RNA from 1 species